GCCCCUGUGGCGCAAUCGGUAGCGCGUAAGACUUGCAAGUACCCCCGAAUAACCCGCGACAUUUGAACCUUUACUAACUUACUAUGAAGCUAAUCUUAAGGCUGUGGGUUCGAUCCCCACCAGGGGCU
rnacentral:tRNA from 1 species